CUGCCGGAGGCCACUGCUAUCGGUUUCCGACUAGCUAUGCGAGUCAGGUGUCGCAAGACGCCGGCGUACGGCUCAUUAACACGCGGAUGAUCUAUCCUCUGGUAGGGGAUAACCUCGGAAAACUGAGGCUAAUACCCUAUAGGUAUUUGAAGUUUGAAUACUCAGAUACUGAAAGCGUGAGCGCCAGAGGGUGAGUCUGCGGCCUAUCAGGUAGUAGGUGGUGUAAUGGACCACCUAGCCUAAGACGGGUACGGGCCUUGAGAGAGGAAGCCCGGAGAUGGAUUCUGAGACACGAAUCCAGGCCUUACGGGGCGCAGCAGGCGCGAAACCUUCACACUGCGCGUAAGCGCGAUGAGGGGAGACCGAGUGCCUUCUCUUUACGGGAAGGCUUUUCACAAGCCUAAAAAGCUUGUGGAAUAAGGGCUGGGCAAGACGGGUGCCAGCCGCCGCGGUAAUACCCGCAGCUCAAGUGGUGGUCGCUAUUAUUGAGCCUAAAACGUCCGUAGUCGGCUUUGUAAAUCCCUGGGUAAAUCGGGUUGCUCAACGAUCCGAUCCCUGGGGAGACUGCAAAGCUUGGGACCGGGCGAGGUUAGAGGUACUCUCGGGGUAGGGGUGAAAUCCUGUAAUCCCGAGGGGACCACCUGUGGCGAAAGCGUCUAACUUGAACGGCUCCGACGAUGAGGGACGAAGGCUAGGGGAG
rnacentral:rRNA from 1 species